rnacentral:rRNA from 1 species
UACGGGGGGGGCAAGCGUUGUUCGGAUUCACUGGGCGUAAAGGGUGCGCAGGUGGGUUGGCAAGUUUGAUGUGAAAGCCCCGGGCUUAACCCGGGAAUGGCAUUGAAUACUGCUGAUCUGGAGGAUCGGAGGGGGGACUGGAAUUCUUGGUGUAGCAGUGAAAUGCGUAGAUAUCAAGAGGAACACCAGUGGCGAAGGCGAGUCCCUGGACGAUACCUGACCCUGAGGCACGAAAGCUAGGGGAGCAAACAGG